GGCAAGGUUAGAGAGUUUAUUUGUUUAAUUCCAGCUAGUUUUAAAACGAACGUUUGAUCUGAAAGUGUCGCCUUAGUAGGGAUAUGGACGAUAGUCGUUACUAACAAAAGGUGCGCCUCCGGGAGUGGUGGAUCCUGAGGACGGUCCGCCAGGAUUGGAUGCUGCCCUGGAGGGAAACCAAGAUGGCGAGUGAUGUGUGCAGCCAUGUAAAGGUUGUUGUUCGAGUGAGGCCGGCCAAUGACAGUGAAAAGCGCAAAAACUGUCGGAAUGUGGUCCAGGUCGUCGAUAACCACAUGCUCAUAUUUGACCCCAAAGAAGAGGACUCGUCGUGCUUUGGGUCACAAAGAGUACGAAACACAAAGAUCAAUAAGAAGGCUAACAAAGACGAGACGAGAACGCUACACAAGUCGACAUUUUUGAGAACACCACUAAAGGAGUGCUGGAUGGGGUGAUGAAUGGAUUCAACUGUACAGGUGACAAAUUAAUGAGUACAAGCUGCAGCUACAGUCUGUCUGAAUUAGUCAUGAUGUCUGCCAAUUAUAAAAAGAUGCAGAGCUGAUUAACUUGUUCUGUAGUGUGCUAGUUAUUUAUCUGUCUGCAGCAACAAAUUACCCUCACUGCUGUGAAGGGGAUAGACCUUCAAAGAUACGAUUUUAUUCCAGGGCUGGAUAAAUGGAGUGCAGAGUCUUAUUCUUUACCAUAUAUUUUGGUGCAAUUGACUAAGCCAAAAAAAAGAAAGAAAGAAAGAAAGAAUUGUAUUUAUUUCUCUAAUGUUGUCACGGUCGGACGGUACUUUCCGGACGACCUUGCUUGUGUUUAUGUUUUCUGUGUGUGUUUGCUUCUCCCUCUCUCUCUCCCCGGUCCUCGGGGCUGUUUACGGAAGUGCGCGCCGUGGGAGAGGCGUGUCCUGCCGACUGUCGUCAUUGGGAGUCCCUCUUCGCUGUUGCCAGCCCAGCUGCAGCUGAUUACCUGAUUACCAGCUGUUGGUAAUCAUCCCUCCCGGCUAGAAAGAGGUACUUAACCUGGACUCGCGGCGACAGUCGACGUGGCAUUAUUACUCCGAACUGGAGGGGCGAGCGGAGAAGCAAGUUGGGGAGCACACACGCUAAGGGAGUUACAACACGGAACGCACUGGGAGCAAGGGAUGAGCACGAUUGGAAAGUUGCACUUUUGAGUGAAUUGUUGGACUUGCCUCUCUGUUUCACUGCACAUAAACGCACUGUGUUUCUGUGAAGAAGAACCGCGCCUGGGUCCCUCUUUUCCGUGACAAAUGUGAAUUUAAAGCUUGAGAAAGUAUUACUUUGUAUAGUUCUACUUUAGCCAGACUCUUAUAAAUGCAGUACUGUGCAUAAGUCUUAAACCACUUCUCAUUCCCUUAUGCUUUGCUAAUAUAAUGGGAAAUAUGUGCAGUGAUUUAUGGAAACAUCUGUAAAAAUUUAUAAAAAACAGUAUACCAAGUAAAAGUGGUCUUCAGGAAUAGUUCUCCAGGCUUCUCAAAACACAUUUGGAUGUUGGUAGAUUAAUCCCCGUCAAGGGGAUCCUACACUGCUUUAAUAAUGUUGAGGUCCAGACUCUGGGGAGGCCAAUCCAUGACUGAUCGUGUUCCAUCGUGUGUUUUUUUUAGAUCCAGGUAUACUUUUACUGAAUUGACUGUAGGCUUGAGAUUAUUGUAAUGCUGAAAAAUGAAGCUGUUGCCAAUGGAAUGCUUUCCACAGUUUUCAUCAUCCCUGCAGAAAAACAGCUGCUGACUCAUCGUUUCACUUCUCCGCUCCCUAUAGUUGUCUCAGUCUCUCAUUUACGCCACUACGGGAAAGGGUCACUGCUCAUCAGUCCCUGGCUCUUUUCUGUCGUGUGUGUGUCCCAGUGUUAGUCUCAGCUGUGAUAGCAUUUAAAAUAGAAAAGAAAAUUCUUAAGAAAUGUUUAGUACCACACCUGUGUACUUGACUAUGUGCGUAUGUUUUCAGUCUUUUAUUUUAUUCAAAUUGUUGACCCAACUCGUUUCCGACAUUGGGUCAAAACCAGAAAACCCCCAAAAAGCAGCUUGUUCGCAGCUGUAAUUAUUCACUGUAAUACAACAACCAAUCAACUGUUAAUCCAAAAUCUAAGAAACAAAAAGCUUGUUGGAAAAAUAAGGUUUGUAAAUCAAUUUAUUAGUUAAAAUAAAAACAUUUCUAAUCAAAAAUUUAUAAAGCUGAAAAGAUCUUAUGGUUCUGUUUGAAAAGGGAGGCACCCAACAGAAUAUGUUCACUUUGUUAACAUGCCUUUUAAUUCAAACUGCAAAGCAUUUUCUGUGUUUGAAAAAGUUCUAUGUAAAUAAAGUUAUUAUUAUUAGUAGUAGUAGUAUAAUGCUAUUAUUCAGUUAUCCUAUCUUCGUUUUUAUUUGUUUAAAAUUUAUUUUUGUACUCCUGCAACUCAAAAAUUAGACUUUUAGGGCAUUUUUUGUUUGAUUUCUUGAUCUAUGUGUGGGAAGAUGGUUAAGCAUUGGUCUUAAAUGCUUUAUCUAUUGUAGAUCAUUUGUAUUUGGACCCAUUAGUGGAUACAGAUCUUGAACCCUGCUUCGUUAUUUACCUAUUGCUCUAAAAG